GGUGAUUUCCAGUUCUCGGUAUCGUCGGAUGAUAACUCUGAGCUCUGGCUGAGUCCUGAUGAGAGCCCUCUCAAUGCCAGACUGCUGGUCUAUGUCGGGCAGCUGGGAACAGAGUGGACCGCUCCAGGCGAGUUCAGCAAGUUCAGGUCCCAGUCCUCCAAGUCUGUGCACCUGAUUUCAUCCAGACGAUACUACUUUGAGAUUCUCCACAAGCAGGAUGACAAGGGCUCGGAUCACGUGGAGGUUGGG